GGGAAUAUGGCUCAGUGGUAGAGUGCUUGCCUAACAUGCAUGAAGCCCUGGGUUCAAUUCCUCAGUACCA
rnacentral:tRNA from 1 species